rnacentral:rRNA from 1 species
UACAGAGGUCUCAAGCGUUGUUCGGAUUCAUUGGGCGUAAAGGGCGCGUAGGCGGCGGGGUAAGUCGGGUGUGAAAUCUCAGAGCUCAACUCUGAAACUGCGCUCGAUACUGCUCUGCUUGAGGACUGGAGAGGAGACUGGAAUUCACGGUGUAGCAGUGAAAUGCGUAGAUAUCGUGAGGAAGACCAGUGGCGAAGGCGGGUCUCUGGACAGUUCCUGACGCUGAGGCGCGAAGGCCAGGGGAGCAAACGGG